CCGAACUGGAAGCCGCCAGUCUCUGUUGGUAUAUCGGAGCUGCGCGUUCUCUCGCCUUUCUCGUUUUUCGAACUCUCUCUCUCUCUCGUGUAACGCGUUUCCCGAGCGAGUUUACUCUGGGUAACAGUAAUAUCGUACAGUAGUUCAAUGAUCAUUGUUCAAACAUCGAUCUACAAGUGUGGAAUUUAUUAAAGGAACUUUACUGGCCGAAAACGACAACAAGGUAAUACAAACAAAAAUUAUUGUAAAAUUGACGAUAUAUAUUGAUGAAAGAUGUAUAGAAAAUGAUAGGAACAUGAUUAAUGAGUAUUUUUUUUUGUUCUUUCUCGUACAAUUAAAAGUAUUAUUGUUAAUAUCGAUAACGAUAAGAUCGAUAAAAGACAAGAACUACGAUAAUUUCGGAUCUCAGUUCGGCAAGAAGUGUCGCGAAACGGAAUGCGUACUCGUGACAUUUGAAAACGUAUCUUAAUUUAAAA
rnacentral:lncRNA from 1 species